rnacentral:rRNA from 1 species
UUCCGGUUGAUCCUGCCGGACCCUACUGCUAUCGGGAUGGGACUAAGACAUGCUAGUCGAGCGCCUCCUAGCCACGCUGGAGGCGCGGCACACAGCUCAGUAACACGUGGCUAACCUGCCCUUGGGACGGAAACAUCCCCGGGAAACUGGGGCCAAUUUCCGAUAGGCGAAGGUCUCUGGAACGAGUCUUCACCCAAAAGACGUUUGGGGCAUGCUCCUAGACGUUGCCCAAGGAUGGGGCCGCGGCCGAUCAGGUUGUUGGUGAGGUAACGGCUCACCAAGCCUAUUACCGGUACGGCCGUGGGAGCGGUAGCCCGGAGAUGGGCACUGAGACAAGGGCCCAGGCCCUACGGGGCGCAGCAGUCGCGAAAACUUCGCAAUAAGCGAAAGCUUGACGAGGCCAUCCCGAGUGCCAUCUGCUGAGGAUGGCUUUUACCUAGUAUAGAUAGCUAGGGGAAUAAGGAGAGGGCAAGUCUGGUGUCAGCCGCCGCGGUAAUACCAGCUCUCCGAGUUGUGGGGACAUUUAUUGGGCCUAAAGCAUCCGUAGCCGGCUGAACAAGUCCCCUGUUAAAUCCAGCGACGAAUCGUUGGCCUGCGGGGGAUACUGUUCGGCUAGGGGGCGGGAGAGGCCGUCGGUAUUCUUGGGGUAGGGGUGAAAUCCUAUAAUCCCAGGAGGACCACCAGUGGCGAAGGCUGUCGGCUAGAACGCGCCCGACGGUGAGGGAUGAAAGCUGGGGGGAGCGAACCGGAUUAGAUACCCGGGUAGUCCCAGCUGUAAACGAUGCAGGCUAGGUGUUAGGGCGGCUACGUGCCGCUCUAGUGCCGCAGGAAGCUGUUAAGCCUGCCGCCUGGGGGAGUACGGCCGCAAGGCUGAAACUUAAAGGAAUUGGCGGG